rnacentral:lncRNA from 1 species
GCCGAGUCAGUUCAGUGGCAGUCCAAGGAGCCCCCUCAGCCCAUCAUGUAUUUCUCCGGAGCUUCUCUCUCCAGAAAGUAUGGGCUUGAAGCUGAAACCUAUUAAGACUAGGGUAUCAUCCCAAGUCUGCAAUGUGAAGCUCCCCAGAAAGUAUGGGCUUGAAGCUGAAACCUAUUAAGACUAGGGUAUCAUCCCAAGUCUGCAAUGUAGACAGAUAGUGUGCAGUCCAUUUUUAGGAUCCGGUUACUAUGAAGUUAAUUUGUUGAUAAGUUGGUCAAUUGACCAAUACAGUGCUGACACGCAGAGGGAGUCACCUACCGGCAUACGUGUCGACACUGUAUUGGUCAAUUGAUCAAAGUUAACUUCAUGCUAACCACUCCCCAUCUUUAACUCCCUCGUCUAAAGCUGCGUAUAGUUAUACUAUCUUUUGGGUAUAUUUAUUCGUUUUUUUUAAUCUUAUUUAUUGGAUUGGUUAUGAAGCGUAAAUAUGGUUGUAUGGUUGUAGAUAGGACAUUCUUUAAUGGACAUAGGGAGGGAGAUUUGGAUUCAUUUAUUUGUUGUCAGUCGUAAAUAUGUCACAGAGAUGUGUUUGUAAAAUCCUUGUAAGGGACAUUUAUUUAUGAUGUUAGAUGAGGAUUAAUAAUAAUGUAUAAUUGCCAUGUCAGGUGGCAGAUCUUAGUCAUGGACUAUAUGCUUAAUGUUGUCCCAAAUUCAUGGCUGUUUUUUCUAUGUAAUGUAUGUGUGUCUCAAUUUGAGAAUGCCAUAAUUAUAUGUACUAAUAUGUUACUAAUGUUAUACAAGAUCG